rnacentral:rRNA from 1 species
UACGGAGGAUGCAAGCGUUAUCCGGAAUGAUUGGGCGUAAAGCAUCCGCAGGUGGCUAUGUAAGUCUGCUGUUAAAGAGUGAGGCUCAACCUCAUAAGAGCAGUGGAAACUACAUGGCUAGAGUGCGUUCGGGGCAGAGGGAAUUCCUGGUGUAGCGGUGAAAUGCGUAGAGAUCAGGAAGAACACCGGUGGCGAAAGCGCUCUGCUAGGCCGCAACUGACACUCAUGGACGAAAGCUAGGGGAGCGAAUGGG